CAUCUUUUCUCCAUCGCAAGGCAGACAUCUCAUUCAUAGCAUUCUUUGAUAUCACCCCAAAAUCCAAAACUCACAAUUGCUGCACCAAAAUUCCAUUACAAAACCCACCCACCCAUUUUUAGUAUCUGAUUUUCGAAUCAUUUAUAUAUAAUUUUAUCCAAAGAAUCCAAAUUUUUACACUGGAUUUCCGAUUCCUGGGUGCCCCCUGUCUUUGUCCACCCACCAAGAUCAAUCUCUAUCUCUCUCUCCAUUCCACCUAAAGAAUAUACUCUAGAAAACCCCAAAAUAAUGACAAAAUGCUCUCAUCAUUAUCAUCUUGGUUGUAUAUAUGAGUGGAUGGAGAGAAGUGAAAGUUGUCCUGUUUGUAGCAAGGAUCAAGCAAUUUGGUUUUAUAUUGUUGAAUAUCUAUGAUUUCUGCUCAACCAAGGUACAAUCAAGCAGGUCAUGGCAUUCGAUGAAACGACUUAAUCUUGAUUGACGCGUCGUUGAUGAAUCCAGUAGUAUCGUCGAUGAAUCCAACAACAUUAGUGAUAGUUCUUGAAAUUUUACUUGCAUUUGGCAAAAGUCAUUUAAGUAUAGCAUAGCACCAGUAGAGAGAGAACUUUCUGUACAGCUUAUUUAUGUUACCAUUGUUCUUUCUCUGGGUGUUAUUUUGCUGGUUGGUCUUUCAGCCUUUUAUGUAGAUGGAAUUUACUCAUUGACGCCCUCAAACCCUGUUUAAGUUGAAGUAAGGUUUUGCUCAGCAAAGGCUUGUUUCAGACUUCAGAGUCUUGGCAAUGAUUUUAGUCAUUGUAAUCUGGGUUAUUUUUCAUGUAAGCUCUGCGGUUACACUCAUGUCCUCUACUUCGGUUUCCAAUGAAGUCAACUCUCAUCUAUAUAUGCAACAGAUUUAAUGUUCUACUCAUCUAUUGUACCAUAAAAGGGGUGGUUAUAUACUUAUAUGAACAAUGUUCUCUUUUACAAAAUUUCUGUGUAAUAUUCUUGUCAUAGUGAAUAUAUAUCAAGGUCAUAUAUACAGACCUAAUUUACAUUUUGGUUAUACAACAAAUGUACA